rnacentral:rRNA from 1 species
UUCCGGUUGAUCCUGCCGGACCCGACUGCUAUCAGAGUGGGACUAAGCCAUGCGAGUCAACAUAGCAAUAUGUGGCAUACGGCUCAGUAACACGUAGUCAACAUGCCCAGGGGACGUGGAUAACCUCGGGAAACUGAGGAUAAACCGCGAUAGGUCAUCACUUCUGGAAUGGGUAAUGACUUAAAUCUAUAUGGCCCCUGGAUUGGACUGCGGCCGAUCAGGCUGUUGGUGAGGUAAUGGCCCACCAAACCUGUAACCGGUACGGGCUCUGAGAGGAGGAGCCCGGAGAUGGGCACUGAGACAAGGGCCCAGGCCCUAUGGGGCGCAGCAGGCGCGAAACCUCUGCAAUAGGCGAAAGCUUGACAGGGUUACUCUGAGUGAUUUCCGUUAAGGAGAUCUUUUGGCACCUCUAAAAAUGGUGCAGAAUAAGGGGUGGGCAAGUCUGGUGUCAGCCGCCGCGGUAAUACCAGCACCCCGAGUGGUCGGGACGUUUAUUGGGCCUAAAGCAUCCGUAGCCGGUUCUACAAGUCUUCCGUUAAAUCCACCUGCUUAACAGAUGGGCUGCGGAAGAUACUAUAGAGCUAGGAGGCGGGAGAGGCAAGCGGUACUCGAUGGGUAGGGGUAAAAUCCGUUGAUCCAUUGAAGACCACCAGUGGCGAAGGCGGCUUGCCAGAACGCGCUCGACGGUGAGGGAUGAAAGCUGGGGGAGCAAACCGGAUUAGAUACCCGGGUAGUCCCAG